rnacentral:rRNA from 1 species
GANUGAAGAGGGAAAAGCUCAAAUUUAAAAUCUGGCGGUCUCCGGCCGUCCGAGUUGUAGUUUAGAGAGGUGUUUUCUGCGUCGGACCACACACAAGUCCUUUGGGAUAAGGCUUCAUAGAGGGUGAGAAUCCCGUACAUGGUGUGGACUACCGGGGCUAUGUGAUGCACCCUCAAAGAGUCGAGUUGUUUGGGAAUGCAUCUCAAAAUGGGUGGUAAAUUCCAUCUAAAGCUAAAUAUUGGGGAGAGACCGAUAGCGCACAAGUACCGUGAGGGAAAGGUGAAAAGCACUUUGGAAAGAGAGUUAAACAGUACGUGAAAUUGCUGAAAGGGAAACGCUUGAAGUCAGUCGCGUCUGCCUGGACUCAGCCGUGGUUCUCCUCGGUGUACUUCCAGGUGGAUGGGCCAACAUCCAUUUUGUUCGCCGUACAAAGGCGUGAGGAAUGCGGCACUCUUCGGGGUGUGUUAUAGCCUCGCKUCGUAUGCGGUGGAUGGGAUCGAGGAACGCAGCGUGCCGCAAGGCUGGGAUUCGUYCACACACACAAUU